AACAAACAAGGUCUACUGCUACCAGAGGUUCUCUCUGGGGACACCCCUUGAAGAUAGGAGCCCUCUAUCGCUCCCUCAGCCUUCGUGAUCUGUCCUUCCCUCCGUCCAGGCACACGGCAAUCCAGAGAAGUGGACGCGGUGGAGAUGAUGGCCUGGACAGUCUGUGAUCAGGCCAUGGGUGACAGUGCUGUCCCCUCAGAUUUGUGGCUUUAUUGUAUCUGUGCAUUCUCAUUGGGGCUGUGAGAGCCAGGUGGAGGGCGGAAGCUUGGGUAGAAAGGGAAAGGGGAUGGGCUCUGUGCCACUCUCCACAAGGUCCUAAAGCUCAGGUCCAAGCAAAAGGCUCCAUAACACCUUUCAACCUCCCUCUUCCACUCAAUACACUUCUAAUGGUUACUUCCGCCAUAUUAAUAAACAACAAUAAAAAUUCCAGGUUCCCCGAUGCUUACUACACAGGAGCUUCAACUCCAGGGUUUUUGUUCCCCCCGACUUUUCUUAAAAAGCCUCUGACGGAAACUCCCUCUACGUAUCUUUCAAAUAAGGGAACCCAGGCUAAAAAGCCCCGUCCAUCAGCCUGACCACAGUCGUACAACUCAUGAGUGUUGGAGUUGAGAGGGAGUCCCUGCAGCUGUGAGUCAGUUUCCCACCCCGAGCUUCAGCCAUGACGGGCUGCCAUGGGGGCCCAAAGCGAGAGCUCCGGCUGGUCAUGGACUGAAAACUGCAACCGUGGGCCCAAAUAAAUGUCUUUCCUUACA